UACGGAGGAUGCGAGCGUUAUCCGGAUUUAUUGGGUUUAAAGGGUGCGCAGGCGGAUUUUUAAGUCAGCGGUCAAAUCGUGGGGCUCAACCCCAUCCAGCCGUUGAAACUGGGGAUCUAGAGUGUGCGAGAGGUAUGCGGAAUGCGUGGUGUAGCGGUGAAAUGCAUAGAUAUCACGCAGAACCCCGAUUGCGAAGGCAGCAUGCCGGCUUCCGACUGACGCUGAAGCACGAAAGCGUGGGGAUCGAACAGG
rnacentral:rRNA from 1 species